rnacentral:rRNA from 1 species
GACGGAGGAUGCAAGUGUUAUCCGGAAUCACUGGGCGUAAAGGGUGCGUAGGCGGGAUCUUAAGUCAGAGGUGAAAGCCUGGAGCUCAACUCCAGAACUGCCUUUGAUACUGGGAUUCUUGAGUUCGGGAGAGGUGAGCGGAACUGCGAGUGUAGAGGUGAAAUUCGUAGAUAUUCGCAAGAACACCAGUGGCGAAGGCGGCUCACUGGUCCGGUACUGACGCUGAGGUGCGAAAGCGUGGGAGCAACAGG